rnacentral:rRNA from 1 species
UACGUAGGGGGCUAGCGUUGUCCGGAAUCAUUGGGCGUAAAGCGCGCGUAGGCGGCCCUGUUAGUCCGCUGUAAAAGUCAAAGGCUCAACCUCGGAACUGCCUUCGAUACUGCGGGUCUCGAGUCCGGGAGAGGUGAGUGGAAUUCCUAGUGUAGAGGUGAAAUUCGUAGAUAUUAGGAAGAACACCAGUGGCGAAGGCGGCUCACUGGCCCGGUACUGACGCUGAGGCGCGAAAGCGUGGGGAGCAAACAGG